UGUUGUUUGUUUGCUUGUCGUUGGAUUCUUCUGGAUUUCACGACCAAACGCAGCCAGUAAUAGUUGAUAAUAGCUGAUAAUUCUAUCGAUUGAAAAUUGUAAUCGUUGGUGACAAUUGAUAUAAUUAGUCACCAAACUAACAACAUGCAAACAAACAAUUUUGGUCGCUAUUGCUGGUUGAUCAGGUCCAUAGGGAUGAGACAUGAUCAUGACCAAUAUGGGAUGGGGACUUGGUUACCAUUUC
rnacentral:lncRNA from 1 species